CUGCUUAUUUACAUCUAGGAAAGGCAAACACUGGUCUGCCUCUUCUGGAGUGCCGUGCUUCAGGAUUAGCGACAGACAGACCUUCUGCAGCUCACGACAUUUACCUACUGUAUUUUCUUUAACAGCUGAAGUAAUGACAUCUUAUUGACAGCACAGCAGAGCAAACAAUGUCUUACUGAAAGCUUCAGUGCUGGAUUUGGGCCGUCCUAAGGACCUGAGACCAAGUAAAAUCUCCUCUACAAACCAUUUCAAGUGGAAUGACAUGAAUUGGGCGAGAAACAUGAGAAGUAAAAAAUCAAAUAAAAAGAUAGCAAAAAGUACGGUAAGGGAAAUUUAAAACCCAAUGAAAAGAGCCAUGUUUGCAGAGCGCGUCCCAUCCCAUCCAGCUGCUUCCCUUUGAACUUGGGGUGCCCCAGUUUCUGCGGGGGCCUCAGCGGUCAGGGAAUCGCUGCAGCCGGGCCCUUUGAUAUGAAAAGUGAAGGCUCUGCAGGAGGAGGGAAGGGAGUGCCUGAGUGCCUCGCACGCCUCCAGCCUGUCCUUUUUGGAGGGAGGUUGUUGAUUUCUUGUUUGAAGUGAUAAGCACAGACACAGUGAAAGCUCUGUGUCUGGGUCUCCAUGCUACACACCUAAGCUAAAAAUAAGUCUACAAAGCUCAUCAGAGAAAGUAGUACUGCAUCAGCCAGGCAGUGCGGAGGCUACUCUGGUAGCUUUUCUUCCUGUGAUUGCUUACAAGUUUGAGUUUGCUUUGAAAACUAGACGGUACUUCAAAACACAGGAGAUUUAAGAAUAAAAUUCCCAUUAGCAGCUGUUAUCAAGAAUUAUCAGGGCAAAUCCCUUCAUACUAAGACAAGAACAAACUUCUAAAAUUCAAAGGCUCUCAUAGGAAGAAAAAAAAGGAAAAGCCCCACAGAUAAGACCUUCACUCCCCCCCCUCCCCCCCCCCCCCCUCAACACACAUGUUCAUCUGCAGGGCUCAGCCCCCACCAGCAGGGGCUACAGUAUCUCACUAUCACGCACAAAGUGACCGAAUACCAACUGAACUGCAGUAACACGUAGUGCAUGUGCGUUGCCAACCCUCUGCAAAUGCGUGAUUAAAUGUGUUUGCUCUGACUCACUUUCAUUACUUGGCAAGAUGCUGUUUCUCACGCUGGCCACUGGGUAGGGACGUGUUGUGCUCGGUUCAGGUGGUGCGUGCUGAGGGCUCCACUCGUGCAGCUGGCUCCCUGCUGUGGCUGAAGCAUGGUACCCAAUCCUGGCCUUUCCCAGGGCUGCACACUUGCUCUCUCUCCUUGUGCUGUUGUCUCCCUUCUUAAUCAGUGAAGCUACGAUCAAAUCUCUUAGCCAAAUAGUAUAGUGCAUAGUACUACAACAUAGCACAGGAACUGUAGCGAGUGCCCCAGCCAGUACGGCCAACCUGCACCAGGUUGCUUGUACUCCUUUGGGACCAGUGCAUAUUCAAAAAAGAGAAAUGGGACUCGUUUCAGUUGGGAAAGCUGCAUUUCACAUUGUCUUAUCACCUGCUUAGCAAAGUCAUUGUUGUAGACAGAUAUAUGAAUGAUAUUUUUAAUUAUAUCAAACAGGCCAAAAAAAAAAAAACAAGAAAAAAGAAAAAGAAAGAGAAAGAGAAAAGAAAAAGAAAAAGAAGAAAAAGAAAAAAAAAAAAGAAAAAGAAAAAAGGAAAAGAAAAAGGAAAAGAAAAAGAAAAAGAAAAAGAAAAAGAAAAAGAAAAAGAAAAAGAAAGAAAAAGAAAAAGAAAAAAGGAAAAGAAAAAGGAAAAGAAAAAGAGAAAGAAAAAGAAAGAAAAAGAAAUAAGGAAAAGGAAAAGAAAAAGAAAAAGAAAGAAAAAGAGAAGAAGAAGAAAGAAAAAGAAACUAAGCUGAGUGUCUCACAUCUAAAAGUGGAACCCAAUUGUCACUUGCUGCAGUGACAGUCAGUUGGCUCAGAUCACCAUCCAAGCAGAUGAGUGUUCCUGUUUUUUUGUCAUGUUAUGUUUCUGACUGCAGUGUGACCACAUCAGCUCAGCAGAGCCCAAGGCAAAUAAAUACCAGCGGUAGGAAUGGCAGGGUGCAAAGUGCUUCAUUCAGAGGAAGCAACGAACUGCUAGGACAGCUCAAGACAUAGAAAGAAUAUUCUUGGUGUCCCUUCCAACUCAAGCCAUUCUAUGAUUCUUGUCCUGGGAACUUCUGGAACUUUUCUGUGCCAUCAGAAAAGGACCCAUCAACCAACUUCAGGGUUUUGGUCUGCUUCCACCAGUGUGUUCCAAUGCUUCCGGACCCACAUCAGCAGGCUCCUCAGGUGUGAAAGUGAUAAACUAGCAGACUCAGAUCAAUCACGGGCAAGGAGCUCCCAGUGAGACUGCUACAUUUAUAGAAAUUAUUUAAUCCUUAUUUAUUUAGCAAGUCACUGAGUAAACUGCAUUGGUGCUCUUCCCGAGGUCCCCGGGAUGUGUCAUCAGCCUUGAAGUAGUGGUGGCCCAGUCCUGCAAGGUACUCAUCAACUCCAUCUUUCGUUGCAAUAGAAAUGUUUUGCAUCCCUUAGGAAUAAACACAUGAAAGAGCCUGCUCUAAAUUAGCUGAGAAAAAGCUUCAUGCAAAGUUUUGCAUUUGUUUCUAAUGAGGAAAGUUAUUUCCAACAGAAUAGUAUAGCAAUGCCAACAGAACAUUUGACCCACUGCUUUCAGAAUUUCUUUCCAUUUCUGAGAAUCUCCCAUACAGAGAAAGACUGGCUUGUACACUCCCAGUUUUGUUUUGUUUCCUAUGUUUCUUAAGCAUUUCUUAAUAACACUUCCAGAAGUGUUCUGAGCGCUUACAAAAUCACUGUGAAGUACUUCAUUCCAAGCGUACUACCCAUAAGCAACAAAUGUAAUCUUAGGUUGGUAAUGUAACCUCAGCAUUCAUUGACGGAUUUAUCCGUGAGGCAGAGAAUUGUUAAUCAUAACCCUGAAGUCAUCCGCUAAAAAAGAGAUCUGUGCAACCUACUCAAGGGAAUCCGCUCUGUCAGGGGGCUUGGGCUGGAUGGUUCCCAGAGGUCCCUUCCAAUCCCUAUGAUUCUGUAAUUCUGUGAUUCUGUUCUAACAAAGACCUCAGAGGCAUUCCUGUUUUCUUAUUCUUCUGGCUUCCUUUCUACAUUCCGGUUGAAAGGUGGUUUCUUUUAGGAGUUUGUUCAAGUACCUCAUCAGCAGGACUUACCUGAGCUUCAGACCCAGUGUGUGAGUGCCGCCACCCCCUCUGCCCUACACAAAGGAAAAUUCCAACAGCUGAGCUUGCUGAAAUUGUGAUAAUUGGCACAGAAUCCCUCUCAGCUCCUGGGUCUAACUACUGGCUGGAUCAGCAACAGUUGGUACUGAUGCUACAGUGAAUUUUUGCAUUGGAGCAGGUAAACCAAAUAAUUUUGCCAAAAAGUUUUCCAGGUUCAGUGGAGGUGGACUUUGUUAGAGCAAAAGGUGACAAAGGGGAGAAGAGGGAUGUAUUUAUCCCUUCUACAAACAAGACUUUUGAAAUUCUUUUGAUCGUUGGCAUUGUUCAAAGCACAUUUCUCAAAUGAAAAUUGAUUUCUGUGCUUUGUAGAUUUUUUCUUUUUUUUUAAUCUAAAUCUCCCUGAAGUUUGGCAUAUUGGACAGUUUGCUUCCCAGCAGCCGUGUUUUGAACCUCUAAUAGCAAGCUCUGGUGCAGGACUUAACACAUUUUGUUUCUUUCUUAAUAGUUGCCUUAAGAUUCAUAUCAAAUGAAAAGUAUCUGCUCACCCUAGGAACAGAAAUUACGAGGUCACUGAUGCUCUGUUUGUCAUUGAUUCUUGCCUAUUUCAAUGCAGUAAUCAGAGAGUGUUAUUGAAUAUGAGAGGGUAAACUAAAUGCUAAGUCUGACUCGUACAAAUUAGUUGAUUGUAUCAGACCCACUGCCUACUUUGCUGCCCUGCUGGUUCACACAAGGUGAAGAAUAUAACCUAGUUGUGGAGGAAAAAAAACAUUGGUUCACUGCUGCUGCACCCAUUCGUACAGCCUACACGUCUACCAUCUGCCAGGAGAGAAAGGACAGAGCUACCAGAGGAGAAAUGAUACCUACCUUUGCUGUGUGUGGGGCUGUCUUCUCCUGCUCAGCAGCCAAGUUUCCUGAGCUGGCCAGGACAUGGGGAGCUGCGGGCUUGCCUCUGAAGCAUCAGACAGAGCCACAAGGGCACAGCCACUGUGACAAGGGUCCUGUGUGGAGGUGCAGCACUGCACAGCAGGAGUAUUUUACUGUGAAAAUAGCAACAUCUUCACACAGAAAAAAAUGAUUUUAUGUCUGUAGAGGUACUUUACGGCCAAGAUGUCUCAGAAGAGAGAGCCCAGAAGGGUCUGCAGGAGCAAUUGAAACUUGAGAGCACGAAGAGCGAAGGGAAAAUGAUGCAGCUUUCUCCACAUCACACAGGUGUGGGGCAGGCUUGGCUUUGCUUCUUGUGAGAGAAGUAGAGGUAGGAGAAACCAGAUAGAUGGGAAAAGCAGGUAAUCCAAGAAGUUCAAGAGUUACAUGGUCUUAAAACUCUUUCUCCCACUGAGAUGACAGCUUACACGUGGCUAAGCUGUACCCUCAGCAGUACAGCUGUGCACUCACCUUGCCUCUGCUUGCACGUUGCACAGCACAUAAACCAGGAGCCUCAGUCUGCAAGGUGAUUUAGCUGUUCAUAAGUAGAUUCUCUAAGUAAGGUGCAGUGUUCCUAGUUUGGAAGAAAGCAACAAAAACAAGCCAUCCAAGCAUGUAUGUUGUUUACGAGACAGGUAUAUUCUUUUGUGCUGUUAUCUCCAUAUAUUUGCCUUUUAUGCUGUCUGCUGACAGCAUCUGAUGCAUUUUUCCUCCUGUGCUUAUUUUUAGUUGCCAUAGGAACUUUCUUAUUUCCUGUCAGCUGAUGCCGGUGUUUAAUGCUAUUAAUUGUAUAAAAGGGUGUUGAGUCUGGUACUCUUAGGAAGGCAGAACACACAUUUCAGUUUACUCAAUCUCUUUUUUCAUUUAUUUCUAUCAAUAUUUAAUUCAAAAUGCCAGAUACUGUAAUAACAGCUGUUAGCACAUCAGUGGAAUCCCGAGUAGAUCCUCCGCAGCCAUUCUUUCUUGUUUGGUCUUAGCCUCCCUCCCACCACCAGAACAACACUCAUUUGAAAUAGUAUCUUCCUUCUGCUCAGUUUGUCGUUUCAUUCUCCCUCAGUCCCCACACACCCAUCCUUUUUUUUUUUUUUUUUUGGUUUUUACCAAAAGAAAAAUUAAAACCCGCUGUUAAAAUGAAUGGGAAUGAAAAGAAAAAUUUCCAGCAUGUAAAGAAAUACUAUCAGCUGGUAAAAUAUUGGGAUCUGAGGAGGGUUUCUUCCUGGCAAAGUCCAAUUUUUCUCCUCUUAAAUGUAAUAGGUUAUUUUGCAAUAUAUAUAUUUUUUCUAUUAAACGUGUUUUGUGACCAGAAAGCAAUAAGGAGCGACCAGGACUGACAGAGAACUACAGUAGCUUAAUCCAGCAUUUCCUUUAUCCAUAUCAACUUUAAAAUCUCCGGUCUUUCCCAUGAACUGAUCACACAUUUGGGGAAAGAUCUUGAUCAGUACAUACAUCUGAAUUUGAACCAGCAUUGUACGGUUGCUGGUUGCACAUUGCUUUUCUAUGUGCAAUCCAUUCCCUCUCUGGGAAAAAAGAAAAAGAGAGAGAAAUAGCAGCAUUUCAAACCCUUCUGUUCCUUCUUCCAUUUCACAUCACUGUUUUUCAAAAGAUGGAGGAGAACAGGUAGCUCAGAUAAAGAAACCAGCAUAUAAACUAUCAUUGAUGAUUUGAGAAUGAUUCCAUCAGUAUGACUUAAAUCGCGCAACCCAAGGUUUUAUCCGGAGUACCUUAAAGACAGCUUUGACAACUUCGGGGGCCUUUGGAUUAGUCCCACCGAAUGGAAUAAUGGGAGCAUUAACGAGCAUGCUGGAGUGCAGUGAGGAUAAUAUUCCGCUUGGAAAUGCUCCCAAAGCAUAUGGUGUGUGCUGCUGCUGAGACAAGCACUGCUAAGUGCUUUAGAGGCUGUAACUCAGCAGGGCCCCAAAACUGAGGCAAACAGUUUUUGACCUGAACCGGGAGGCCACUCCACAGAGGGCUCCUCCUGCAGAAACCCUUGGUGCCCCCACUUUCCUCCAUGAGGAGGAUGCAUCCCAGGCCAACGUGCUCUGCCAUGAGUGACACCAAUUCUGUUUAGGCCCUUCGAGUUUAAGGAAGGAUAUUUGUGCAGUGGCACCAUACGCUGUUAUCAUUUUAGUGAAUGUAAAAUACAAUGAACGUCCAUCUUUUCAUCCAAAUAGGAGGAACUGAAGGCUUCAGGAACUGGAUAUUUACUCUUUUGAAUGGUUUGGGUUUAAAGAAAUAGUUUUUUAAAAGUAAUUUGUUUGGAAAUUAAAACGUUCAUGCAUAUUAAGGCUUGUAUUUACAAGAGUUAUUCAUAGAGAAGAUAACAAUGCAGAUUAUUUCACUGUUGGAUUGUAUGGGAUCAUGAAAAACUUUGAAUAUUGUUUGAUAUAUAUAUAUAGAAAUAAAAAUAUAAAAUAAAUACGCUGUCGGUCCAAUCUAUAUGGAAAUACUGGAGUUAUAUCUGUAAGUCAGCCUAGCUCAGCUGAAAACAACUUCCAGUUCAGUGUCA
ensembl:lncRNA